rnacentral:tRNA from 1 species
GACACAAUGGAUCAAUGGUAGAUCGUCUCCAACGUAAGGAGAGGAUCACGGUUCGAGUCCGUGUUGUGGCA